UACGAAGGGGGCUAGCGUUGUUCGGAAUAACUGGGCGUAAAGCGCACGUAGGCGGAUUGUUUAGUCGGGGGUGAAAUCCCGGGGCUCAACCCCGGAACUGCCCCCGAUACUGGCAAUCUUGAGUCCGAGAGAGGUGAGUGGAAUUCCGAGUGUAGAGGUGAAAUUCGUAGAUAUUCGGAGGAACACCAGUGGCGAAGGCGGCUCACUGGCUCGGUACUGACGCUGAGGUGCGAAAGCGUGGGGAGCAAACAGG
rnacentral:rRNA from 1 species